rnacentral:rRNA from 1 species
CAGGCAUCUGCGAAAGCUCAAAGCUGGGGAUCGCAAGACCUGGCGCUUUAGGAUGGGCCCGCGGCCUAUCAGCUAGUUGGUGAGGUAAAAGCUCACCAAGGCGAAGACGGGUAGCUGGUCUGAGAGGACGACCAGCCACACUGGAACUGAGACACGGUCCAGACACCUACGGGUAGCAGCAGUCGAGAAUUUUUCACAAUGGGCGAAAGCCUGAUGGAGCGACGCCGCGUGGGGGAUGAAUGGCUUCGGCCCGUAAACCCCUGUCAUCUGGGAGCAAACCUGCUCUGCUAAUACCAGUGCAGUUGAUAGUACCAGAAGAGGAAGGGACGGCUAACUCUGUGCCAGCAGCCGCGGUAAUACAGAGGUCCCAAGCGUUGUUCGGAUUCACUGGGCGUAAAGGGUGCGUAGGCGGUUGAUUAAGUCUGAUGUGAAAUCUCCGAGCCCAACUCGGAAAUGGCAUCGGAUACUAGUCGGCUAGAGGAUUGGAGGGGGGACUGGAAUUCUCGGUGUAGCAGUGAAAUGCGUAGAUAUCGAGAGGAACACCAGUGGCGAAGGCGAGUCCCUGGACAAUUCCUGACGCUGAGGCACGAAAGCUAGGGGAGCAAACAGGAUUAGAUACCCUGGUAGUCCUAGCCGUAAACGGUGCACGCUUGCUGUGGGCGGAAUCGACCCCGUCCGUGGCGAAGCAAACGCGUUAAGCGUGCCGCCUGGGAAGUACGGUCGCAAGAUUAAAACUCAAAGAAAUUGACGGGGGCCUGCACAAGCGGUGGAGUAUGUGGCUUAAUUCGAUGCAACGCGAA